AAUGAAGUGCCUGAUAAAAAGGAUUACUGUGAUAGAGUAAAUCAUGUAACUAUUUACCUUCAUUA
rnacentral:tRNA from 2 species